rnacentral:rRNA from 1 species
GGGCCCGCACAAGCGGAGGAACAUGUGGUUUAAUUCGAUGAUACGCGAGGAACCUUACCCGGGCUUGAAAUGCAGAUGACAGGCGGCGAGAACCGUUUUUCCUUCGGGACAUCUGUGUAGGUGCUGCAUGGUUGUCGUCAGCUCGUGCCGUGAGGUGUCGGCUUAAGUGCCAUAACGAGCGCAACCCUCAUCGUUAGUUGCCAUCAGGUCAAGCUGGGGACUCUAACGGGACUGCCAUCGUAAGAUGUGAGGAAGGUGGGGAUGACGUCAAAUCAGCACGGCCCUUACGUCCGGGGCGACACACGUGUUACAAUGGGUGGUACAAAGGGCAGCUACCGGGCGACCGGAUGCCAAUCUCUAAAACCACUCUCAGUUCGGAUCGGAGUCUGCAACUCGACUCCGUGAAGCUGGAUUCGCUAGUAAUCGCGCAUCAGCCACGGCGCGGUGAAUACGUUCCCGGGCCUU